CUUCAUUAUAUGAUGAAAAACUCCGGAUGUUAACUCAUUAUAUCUGAGAGCGCAAAUACCGUGUGGAUACUUCCGUUGCCUUCCUUCUGACUAGUUAA
rnacentral:snoRNA from 1 species